UACGGGGGGGGCAAGCGUUGUUCGGAAUUACUGGGCGUAAAGGGCUCGUAGGUGGCCAACUAAGUCAGACGUGAAAUCCCUCGGCUUAACCGGGGAACUGCGUCUGAUACUGGAUGGCUUGAGUUUGGGAGAGGGACGCGGAAUUCCAGGUGUAGCGGUGAAAUGCGUAGAUAUCUGGAGGAACACCGGUGGCGAAGGCGGCGUCCUGGACCAACACUGACACUGAUGCACGAAAGCUAGGGGAGCAAACAGG
rnacentral:rRNA from 1 species